rnacentral:rRNA from 1 species
AGCCAGACUCCUACGGGAGGCAGCAGUGGGGAAUAUUGCACAAUGGGGGAAACCCUGAUGCAGCAACGCCGCGUGAGUGAAGAAGUAUUUCGGUAUGUAAAGCUCUAUCAGCAGGGAAGAAGAUGACGGUACCUGAGUAAGAAGCCCCGGCUAACUACGUGCCAGCAGCCGCGGUAAUACGUAGGGGGCAAGCGUUAUCCGGAUUUACUGGGUGUAAAGGGAGCGUAGACGGCGAUACAAGUCUGAAGUGAAAGCCCGGGGCUCAACCCCGGGACUGCUUUGGAAACUGUGUUGCUGGAGUGCUGGAGAGGCAAGCGGAAUUUCUAGUGUAGCGGUGAAAUGCGUAGAUAUUAGGAGGAACACCAGUGGCGAAGGCGGCCUGCUGGACGGUGACUGACGCUGAGGCUCGAAAGCGUGGGGAGCAAACAGGAUUAGAUACCCCCGUAAAC